UAAAACACAAUUGCACAAGAGAGGAUACAAUGAAAUAAAAAUACAGGCAGUUCUACCAGGUAUAGAGGUAGACUUGUUUAUGUAUUUGUCAAUAUCUUUUGGAUGAUACAUUGAAGCUCAACUACAGAUUACUUCAGAUCUCAAUACAACAAACUUCUGAACAUUAAAUUCUGUUUUUGGCAGUUUGGAAAUGGGGAUGGAUCUUGGUAUUAUUUAGUACCUUCAUAUCAUGUCAUUUACUGCAACACUGAUGCUUCUUGAAUCGGCGCAUUUUGCUGUCAAGUUUGAUCCUUACGUGUUUGGNNNNNNNNNNNNNNNNNNNNNNUGNUUGAGUUUUACAGCUACAGUCUGUACAGAUAUUAUUAAUGGUUACAUUGUUGAAGUUAUAUUCAAUGGAAAUAUAACAAUGGUUUAUAUAUAUGGUUUGCAAAAUGUACCUCCUUUCCUUUCACAAGUAUCAAAACCCCUUGUAAUAUUUUUCAAGUGCAUGUUUGUGGUUUGAGAUUUGAAACCUUCUUUUAUUUGUUAGAAAAAUUUACAGUAUGUGUAUUCAUAACCAUAUGUCCCACAUUCGCAAUCCAGAAUUUAGACCCUGUGGAUUCUAAGUUGAAAUGUAAAUUUAACUUGAGCUAUACUUGUUUUUCACACAUGUUAAAAGGGUUCUACCUCGUAUCACUAGGUUCUGCUGAAUCCGCGAACCCAUUAUUGUAUAUCCUCUUAUAUCCACAAUGGCCAAAAGGCUGAGAUUAGCUUUUGAAUAGUUGAUUGUGCCUCUUCCUUUUCUGGAGGCUCAAUCUAAUCUCCAUGUUGUCAUGAUAUUCUUGUGCCACAAGUGCAUAGGUUCAUAAAUCAAAAUAUACUUCCUAGAAUUAUGACAUAGUAAAUAUUAACGUAAGGAAUGGACCAAAGAAACAUGACAUAGCAAAAAUGGUCCUAAGUCCUAGAAAAAGUAAAUAUCUAUGUGCAAAGGGCGGAGCUAGAACACAGGUUACGAGUACAAUAAUUUUAAUCAAAACUCUAUAUUUGUUUUAAGAUAUAUAAUAUGUGCAAAUUAUUAAAUUUAGAACUCACUAACUUAAACAGACUUCCAUAAACUUCAAAUUCCGGCUCCACUUCUGUCUAUGAGUCACCAAUGAAGUGAAAACACUUACGGAAAUAAGGACACAAGGAAAACAAUAGAGCUUGAGGGGACUACUUAAUUCUUCUACAAAUAAUUGUUAGAUGUUAUUUAGUAUUUCUGAAAUCUUUCUUAACUAAGUGACAAUUGUAUAUAACAAGAAGAAGAGGAUAAAGAAGAGGAAGCAGAGAUGAGGAAGAAGAGGACUAGAAGUUGAGAGAGAGAGAGAGAGCAAAUAGAG
rnacentral:lncRNA from 1 species